UGGUAUCGCAGUUUCUAGUCUGAUGUUUGUCCGUGUACAACGCGCAGGGAUGACACUCCCCGAUCUAGUCAGGAGUGAGCACGAGGUCGCGCGCAUUUUCUUCCGACAAGUUGCCCACGUCUACCUAUAUAGUACAUACUAUUCAUAUAUAUGUCUCUAUAUAGGCAUAGGUACAUGUAUAUAAGGGUGCAAACAUCAAGUUUAUACAAAACUUGUACUACGCGUUUCUCAGUACUUUGUACACUGAUAAUACGAGAGUUUAUACAGAAGAGGUCAAUUCGCUAUCCAACGAGGAACGAGAGUCUGCUGCUUAUUCCUCCCCGGAAAAUUAGGAAUUGCCAAUAUUAAUCCAGAGUUUCCAGUCGGUGUCGUACUAAACACCGACCUGACUACUUACGAGGGUUUCUAUCACUUAAGAGGGUAAAAAAGAGCCCGAGGUUCUCUUGAGAUUGUUGACGUCUACUAAAGAUAAGUUCAUUAGACGGCCAAUAAAUAAUUCGUGAUAACGACGACUAAUUAUUUUUAUACACUGAUAGAAGGAUUUGUUUAUAGUUAAAAAUAUUUGUUAAUAUUUAACAAAUCAUUUAUU
rnacentral:lncRNA from 1 species